rnacentral:rRNA from 1 species
UACGAAGGGGGCUAGCGUUGCUCGGAAUUACUGGGCGUAAAGCGCACGUAGGCGGUUUCUUAAGUCGGUGGUGAAAUCCUGGAGCUCAACUCCAGAACUGCCUUCGAUACUGGGAAACUUGAGUCCGGGAGAGGUGAGUGGAACUGCGAGUGUAGAGGUGAAAUUCGUAGAUAUUCGCAAGAACACCAGUGGCGAAGGCGGCUCACUGGCCCGGUACUGACGCCGAGGUGCGAAAGCGUGGGGAGCAAACAGG